GACGAACGCUGGCGGCGUGCUUAACACAUGCAAGUCGAACGGAAAGGCCCUGCUUUUGUGGGGUGCUCGAGUGGCGAACGGGUGAGUAACACGUGAGUAACCUGCCCUUGACUUUGGGAUAACUUCAGGAAACUGGGGCUAAUACCGGAUAGGAGCUCCUGCUGCAUGGUGGGGGUUGGAAAGUUUCGGCGGUUGGGGAUGGACUCGCGGCUUAUCAGCUUGUUGGUGGGGUAGUGGCUUACCAAGGCUUUGACGGGUAGCCGGCCUGAGAGGGUGACCGGCCACAUUGGGACUGAGAUACGGCCCAGACUCCUACGGGAGGCAGCAGUGGGGAAUAUGGCACAAUGGGCGGAAGCCUGAUGCAGCAACGCCGCGUGCGGGAUGACGGCCUUCGGGUUGUAAACCGCUUUCGCCUGUGACGAAGCGUGAGUGACGGUAAUGGGUAAAGAAGCACCGGCUAACUAAGUG
rnacentral:rRNA from 1 species